GGGUACGAUCAUACCAGAACUAAUGCACCGGAUCCCAUCUGAACUCCGCAGUUAAGCUUGCUUGGGCGAGAGUAGUACUAGGAUGGGUGACCUCCUAGCAAGUCUUGGUGUUGCACCCU
rnacentral:rRNA from 1 species